GAUGAACGCUAGCGGCAGGCCUAACACAUGCAAGUCGAGGGAGAGGUUACCUUCGGGUAACCAAAACCGGCGCACGGGUGCGUAACGCGUAUACAAUCUGCCUUUCACAUAGGGAUAGCCCGAAGAAAUUUGGAUUAAUACCUAAUGGUAUAUAAGAGCGGCAUCGUUUUUAUAUUAAAGCUACGGUGGUGAAAGAUGAGUAUGCGUUCUAUUAGCUAGUUGGAGAGGUAACGGCUCCCCAAGGCGACGAUAGAUAGGGGUUCUGAGAGGGAUGUCCCCCACACUGGUACUGAGAUACGGACCAGACUCCUACGGGAGGCAGCAGUGAGGAAUAUUGGACAAUGGUCGGAAGACUGAUCCAGCCAUGCCGCGUGCGGGAUGAAGGUCCUAUGGAUUGUAAACUGCUUUUGUAAGGGAAGAAUAAGGAGUACGUGUACUUUGAUGACGGUACCUUACGAAUAAGCAUCGGCUAACUCCGUGCCAGCAGCCGCGGUAAUACGGAGGAUGCGAGCGUUAUCCGGAAUCAUUGGGUUUAAAGGGUCCGUAGGCGGGCUGAUAAGUCAGAGGUGAAAGCGCUUAGCUCAACUAAGCAACUGCCUUUGAAACUGUCAGUCUUGAAUGAUUGUGAAGUAGUUGGAAUGUGUAGUGUAGCGGUGAAAUGCUUAGAUAUUACACAGAACACCGAUAGCGAAGGCAUAUUACUAACAAUUUAUUGACGCUGAUGGACGAAAGCGUGGGUAGCAAACAGG
rnacentral:rRNA from 1 species